GGUCAAGUUAUUAAGGGUGCAGGGCGGAUGCCUUGGCACUAGGAGCCGAUGAAGGACGUGAUAAGCUGCGAUAAGCUUCGGGGAGUUGCACGUAAACUUUGAUCCGAAGAUUUCCGAAUGAGGAAACUCACUUAGAGUAAUGUCUAAGUAUCAUUAAGUGAAUACAUAGCUUAAUGAGGGGAACUCAGGGAACUGAAACAUCUAAGUACCUGAAGGAAGAGAAAGAAAUUCGAUUCCGUAAGUAGCGGCGAGCGAACGCGGAUUAGCCCAAACCAAUAAAGUUUUCUUUAUUGGGGUUGCGGACAUAUCAUAACGAAGAGGUAUCGUAAUUGAAGAGGUUUGGAAAGACCCACCACAGAAGGUAAUAGUCCU
rnacentral:rRNA from 1 species